rnacentral:tRNA from 1 species
GGGCGCGUACCAAAGUGGCCAACUGGGCCAGACUGUAAAUCUGGUGGCGUAAUGCCUACGAAGGUUCGAAUCCUUCCGCGCCCA